rnacentral:tRNA from 1 species
GGGAAUGUGGCUUAGUAGUAGAGUGCUUGCCUAGCAUGCAUGAGACCCUGGGUUCAGUUCCUCAGUACUGCCA